rnacentral:rRNA from 1 species
UACGUAGGGUGCAAGCGUUGUCCGGAAUUAUUGGGCGUAAAGAGCUCGUAGGCGGUUUGUCGCGUCUGCUGUGAAAACCCGAGGCUCAACCUCGGGCCUGCAGUGGGUACGGGCAGACUAGAGUGGCGGUAGGGGAGAUUGGAAUUCCUGGUGUAGCGGUGGAAUGCGCAGAUAUCAGGAGGAACACCGAUGGCGAAGGCAGGUCUCUGGGCCAUUACUGACACUGAGAAGCGAAAGCAUGGGGAGCGAACAGG